GCCUCCUUGGCUCAGUUGGCUAGAGCGCAGGUCUCAUAUCUCGAAUAUGAGUAGUUCACAACUACGCAAUCCUGAGGUCGCAAGUUCGAGCCUUGCAGGGGGCA